rnacentral:rRNA from 1 species
GCUGGCGGCAUGCUUUACACAUGCAAGUCGAACGGCAGCGGGGUAGUGCUUGCACUACUGUCCGGCGAGUGGCGAACGGGUGAGUAAUAUAUCGGAACGUACCGAGUAAUGGGGGAUAACCAAUCGAAAGAUUGGCUAAUACCGCAUACGUCCUAAGGGAGAAAGCGGGGGAUCGCAAGACCUCGCGUUAUUCGAGCGGCCGAUAACUGAUUAGCUAGUUGGUGGGGUAAAGGCCUACCAAGGCGACGAUCAGUAGCGGGUCUGAGAGGACGAUCCGCCACACUGGGACUGAGACACGGCCCAGACUCCUACGGGAGGCAGCAGUGGGGAAUUUUGGACAAUGGGGGCAACCCUGAUCCAGCCAUGCCGCGUGUAUGAAGAAGGCCUUCGGGUUGUAAAGUACUUUUGUUAGGGAAGAAAAGGGAAGUGCUAAUACCACUUUUUGCUGACGGUACCUAAAGAAUAAGCACCGGCUAACUACGUGCCAGCAGCCGCGGUAAUACGUAGGGUGCGAGCGUUAAUCGGAAUUACUGGGCGUAAAGCGAGCGCAGACGGUUAUUU